rnacentral:tRNA from 1 species
GGAGAGAUGGUUCAGUGGUUAGGACACUGGUUGAUCUUCCAGAGGACCUGGGUUCAAUUCCCAGCACCC